UACAGAGGGUGCGAGCGUUAAUCGGAAUUACUGGGCGUAAAGCGUGCGUAGACGGUAGCGUAAGUCAGAUGUGAAAGCCCCGGGCUCAACCUGGGAAUUGCAUUUGAGACUGCUCUGCUCGGGUGCGGAAGAGGGAAGCGGGAAUUUCCGGUGUAGCGGUGAAAUGCGUAGAGAUGUGGAGGAACACCGAUGGCGAAGGCAGCCCCCUGGGUCAAGCAUUGACGCUCAUGCACGAAAGCGUGGGGAGCAAACAGG
rnacentral:rRNA from 1 species